rnacentral:rRNA from 1 species
AUGCCGCCGUCCUGGUUUUGGCGCUCCAGCGCGCGGGGAAAGCGGCCUAGCGCGCGCUGGUUUUGGCGCUUCAGCGCGCGGGAAAGGUUCGCGCGCGCGCCGCUGACGGCGCUCGUUAGAAAAAAAGCCCACCCUCCACACUGUCCGCCGCCCCACUCUCGCCGCCUCCGCGCCAUCAUGUCGAUCCGCCACCUGGGCGCUUCGGAUUUUCGCGGAGUCCGCGAGCGCCGCUCCGGCACCUUCUCCUCCAAGAUCUGGUUUUGCGAGAAACGUCUUAUACUCGGCACCUUCGACACCGCAGAGGAGGCGGCCCGCGCGCACGACGCGGCGGCGUGGCGCUUCCUGAGGCCUCGUCGGGAUAUGAUUUUUCUCAACGUGUCGAGCCAGCGGGCGCAGGAUCUGGCGCCUCUCCCGCGGCUUUUCACCGACGAGGAUCGCCGUGUCCACCGGAGGCGGCAGCGUCGCCUCGCCAUCGCAGAGAAGGACGUGGAAGCCUUGGUGGUGUGGCGCGGAGGCUUCCCGCAGGACAUCGUCGACUAG